rnacentral:tRNA from 1 species
CGAAUUAGAGCUUGAAUAAGCAUUUUAUUUACAUUAAAAAGAUUUCUUUUAGAAUAAUUUGA